UACGUAGGGUGCGAGCGUUAAUCGGAAUUACUGGGCGUAAAGCGUGCGCAGGCGGUUCGUUGUGUCGGUGGUGAAAGCCCCGGGCUUAACCUGGGAAUGGCCAUGGAAACUGGCGAACUGGAGUGUGGCAGAGGGGGGGUGGAAUUCCGCGUGUAGCAGUGAAAUGCGUAGAGAUGCGGAGGAACACCGAUGGCGAAGGCAGCCCCCCUGGGCUAGCACUGACGCUCAGGCACGAAAGCGUGGGGAGCAAACAGG
rnacentral:rRNA from 1 species